CCUGCUGUGCCAGCUGUGCCUGCUGUGCCAGCUGUGCCUGCUGCCACCCAGCACUGCAGCCUGUCAGGGGACUCACCAGUGCGAGACAUUAGAGGAAAACCAGGAGAGGGAAUUUUUCUGGAGUACACAUCGCUCCCAAACUCCUCUGAAUCGGGCUGCAAUGGAGGGACCUGCCUCGGUGCUGUGCCUGAGAACCUGCUACAUAAAACACUGCAAACCACUCCGAGCCACUGACAAUCCACCUGAGCUGGGACAAUCCCACCUCUCCAGGAGCUGCAGUUGCUCUCACAGGAUGGUGCAAAAAAGGCACUCAAACACUGUUAGCAAGUGUGCCUUGCCCAUCAUCCCAGAAUAUCCAGGCUUCCAGGAUAUUAAGCUAUCAAGAAAUUACGUGGGAAUUCCAGCCUUCAACCAACUUUUCCAGGAUUUGGAAAGAGGAAAGAACUCCUCAUCCCAGCUGAAGGAUUUUUCAAGGAGACCUUCGUUAGCCCAAUGCUUGGGGAGCUCCCGGAGAGGCUCCUUGGAAGGGCCCCUGACCACCAGCACUGCCUUCCACGACAAACCACUGCAGGAGUAUUUCAACGAGAGGCUGCUGGAGCUGGGGAGCUAUGGAAGUAAGAGAUCCAACAGGAAAGCAAAAGCAUUUGGUGAUCAGAGCCCCCAGCGAGGGUCCCGGCGCAGGAGCAGCUGCAGCGCCCUGCUGGGGAAGGGGCAGGACAGGGAGGGGUCCUGUGUGCCAGCAAACCAGGACAGCCAGAAAGGGAUCCAGUGGAACGGGCAGGACAAAAUCCAGAAUGUCCUGAAGCUCUAUAAGAGUGACUGUUUGGACAUUCUGACAAUGCACAUCACCGCUCCCUUAGAAGUAUUUGUGCAGAAGAAAUGACACCAGGGCUGGUUACAGCUUUCCCAGGAAAAAUUGUUCCUGUUCAGCACCAUCCCGACUUUAGUUCAGACACGUCAGCCCCCCCUGACACAGAAAGAUGCUUGUUUGGGGGAGGAAAUAGUCUCUCAUUUUGUGUUCUUGAUUUACAUCGCAUAGAUUUGUCUUCAGCUAUUUUCUGCAGAGAAUCAGCAUAAUUGCCCCAUAGGUGUGACUCAUAGCAGAGCUCUAAAUAUGUGCAUAUAUUACUUAAAUGCUUACAUGGCCUUGAAAAAGGUGAUAAGUGUCAGAGGUGUAGCUUGUUUCCUAUUGUGGAGUUUGUGUUAGUUAAUCUGAAGAAAGAAUGUUGUGUUCUGCCUAGUUACUUUGCUUGUUUUAAGCCUCUAGGUUUUAUCACUGUGGCCCAAGUAAUUUAUGGUCUUAUUAUCUCUUAUUUAUGACACAGACAAAAUAGCUGAUGAAAAAUUAUCGAUUUUCACUCGUUGCCACAUGUAAUCUCCAGGUGGAUCACUGUAAGAGCUUGACACGUGAAGAAGCAAACACAGAGAGAAGAUUUACUUUUAAAUAUGAUCAGCUAUUAUGGUUUCAUUUGCAGACUCAGAAACCUUUGAGUUAAAAGCCACCACAAGGGCAAAGAGGAAAAAAAUGCUAGAUUCGAGUCAGAAUGAUGGAAUUAAGCAUGAAAGAAGGCUCCUUCCUACUUUCCUAUUGUAAAUAUGAGAACAACACAGCAAAUUCCUAAUGUAAUCUGAGCUUCAAAUUGUUUAUGGGAUUAGUAUUUAUCGUGGUUGUGUAAGUAUACAAUGUCAGCUGCAGCUGAAGCUUUUCAUUGUGGGAAAUGUCAAUGUUUAAUUCCACAGUGCACUGACUGAAUACCAGAGCCAAAGUGGGGCAAUGAUUUUAAGCUUCCAGAAAGAUCUACUACUGCCUGUGGUAUCAUUGGCAAUAAAUUCAUUAUGGUGUUGGUUUGAA